CUUUGCCCCAGUCAGAGAUGGAACAAAGUCAGUUCUUUGGUACGAGUCUUUCAGAAGCUCUGGGCAAGUCGCAUGUUGAAGAAAAAUGGGUGUUGUGUCUCUGAUUUUGCUGCUCCUUAUCAGUUCCUCCGUCCCUCUUUCAUCAGGUAGAACUGGAGGAGUAUGAAUUUCCCAAGGCAGUCGUUUUCCUCCAUUCUCUUCGGAGGGCAACCCCCUAAACGGGUGAGCAAGGGACCCAAGGAUCUGACCUUAUGUCGGGUGUUUCGCAAAAGAACAUGUUGUGAUGUAGCCCAGACACAUCCCGCACUGUUAGCCAUUAGAAAGUUGGCUUCAACAGGGGAAGCCAGCUCAGAGUGCUUACAAUUAUGGGAAUUGCUGGAAUGUUCCAUUUGCGACCCACGCAUUGGUGUGCAGCAAGGGCCUCCAGUUAUAUGUGCCUCUUUUUGUGACACUCUUUACUGCUUGUGCUGAGGCUUACUACUCGACGGAUUCUAUAACACAGCCAGGUUCUUGCACCAUGUGGAGAGAAUGAUUAUGUUUGCGGUAGGGCCUCUGAAUGGAUCCACAAUGGCACCGAGUUCUGCCAGGCUGCGGGGUUCGCUGGUAAAGAUGAAAUUUCCCAUAGCCUGGAAGAAAGAUUCUGCUAUGGUGGUAAAGCCAGUCUUGAUUUGAUUGCUGAUUCAUGGAAGGGCUCACAUUCUGGAGUGCCCCAGAGAGUUAAGAGCUUGAGGUUGCUGGAGGAAUUUCAACAGAUUGUGAGAAAAAUGCCAUUUAGUGAACAAGUUUCAUGGGCUGUGGGAGGACUUGUUCUUACAGCAGGCCUGUUGUUUGUAAUCAAGAGGAAAAGUCAUAAUCAGCUGUACAAACAAGCCGUUAUACAACGUACUACAAAGAAACAUGAAGCCAAGAAUCAGAAAUUAGCUGUUGCUCAUUUGAAUAGGAAAGCCAAGUAAAAGUUGAAUGUGAAUUUGUUUUCUCAGAUGAUAUUUAGUUGUGUCAAAUAACAGAAGAUGUAUCAAUAUAUUGUUACAACGUUUUUGUGCUAUUUGUUUUCU